rnacentral:rRNA from 1 species
AUUGAACGCUGGCGGCAUGCUUUACACAUGCAAGUCGAACGGUAACAGGCCGCAAGGUGCUGACGAGUGGCGAACGGGUGCGUAAUGCAUCGGAACGUGCCCAGUCGUGGGGGAUAACUACUCGAAAGAGUAGCUAAUACCGCAUACGAUCUAUGGAUGAAAGCGGGGGACCGUAAGGCCUCGCGCGAUUGGAGCGGCCGAUGUCAGAUUAGGUAGUUGGUGGGGUAAAGGCUCACCAAGCCAACGAUCUGUAGCUGGUCUGAGAGGACGACCCGCCACACUGAGACUGAGACACGGCCCAGACUCCUACGGGAGGCAGCAGGGGGGAAUUUUGGACAAUGGGCGCAAGCCUGAUCCAGCAAUGCCGCGUGCAGGAAGAAGGCCUUCGGGUUGUAAACUGCUUUUGUACGGAACGAAACGGCUCUGGUUAAUACCCGGGGCUAAUGACGGUACCGUAAGAAUAAGCACCGGCUAACUACGU